UCAGGACGAACGCUGGCGGCGUGCCUAAUACAUGCAAGUCGAGCGAACAGAAGGGAGCUUGCUCCCGGAUGUUAGCGGCGGACGGGUGAGUAACACGUGGGUAACCUGCCUGUAAGACUGGGAUAACUCCGGGAAACCGGAGCUAAUACCGGAUAGUUCCUUGAACCGCAUGGUUCAAGGAUGAAAGACGGUUUCGGCUGUCACUUACAGAUGGACCCGCGGCGCAUUAGCUAGUUGGUGGGGUAAUGGCUCACCAAGGCGACGAUGCGUAGCCGACCUGAGAGGGUGAUCGGCCACACUGGGACUGAGACACGGCCCAGACUCCUACGGGAGGCAGCAGUAGGGAAUCUUCCGCAAUGGACGAAAGUCUGACGGAGCAACGCCGCGUGAGUGAUGAAGGUUUUCGGAUCGUAAAGCUCUGUUGUUAGGGAAGAACAAGUGCGAGAGUAACUGCUCGCACCUUGACGGUACCUAACCAGAAAGCCACGGCUAACUACGUGCCAGCAGCCGCGGUAAUACGUAGGUGGCAAGCGUUGUCCGGAAUUAUUGGGCGUAAAGNGCUCGCAGGCGGUUUCUUAAGUCUGAUGUGAAAGCCCCCGGCUCAACCGGGGAGGGUCAUUGGAAACUGGGAAACUUGAGUGCAGAAGAGGAGAGUGGAAUUCCACGUGUAGCGGUGAAAUGCGUAGAGAUGUGGAGGAACACCAGUGGCGAAGGCGACUCUCUGGUCUGUNACUGACGCUGAGGAGCGAAAGCGUGGGAGCGAACAGGAUUAGAUACCCUGGUAGUCCACGCCGUAAACGAUGAGUGCUAAGUGUUAG
rnacentral:rRNA from 1 species